rnacentral:tRNA from 1 species
GGGCGCAUGGUGUAGUGGUAUCACAUUCGCUUUGCAUUCAUCGUCUCUGCGAAAGGCCCAGGGUUCGAUCCCCUGUACGUCCA